CCUACGGGAGGCAGCAGUGAGGAAUAUUGGUCAAUGGACGAGAGUCUGAACCAGCCAAGUAGCGUGAAGGAUGACUGCCCUAUGGGUUGUAAACUUCUUUUAUAUGGGAAUAAAAUGUUCCACGUGUGGGGUUUUGUAUGUACCAUAUGAAUAAGGAUCGGCUAACUCCGUGCCAGCAGCCGCGGUAAUACGGAGGAUCCGAGCGUUAUCCGGAUUUAUUGGGUUUAAAGGGUGCGUAGGUGGAUUGUUAAGUCAGUUGUGAAAGUUUGGGGCUCAACCGUAACAUUGCAGUUGAAACUGGCAGUCUUGAGUGCAGUAGAGGUGUGCGGAAUUCGUGGUGUAGCGGUGAAAUGCUUAGAUAUCACGAAGAACCCCGAUUGCGAAGGCAGUUCACUGGACUGCAACUGACACUGAGGCACGAAAGUGUGGGUAUCAAACAGGAUUAGAUACCCUAGUAGUC
rnacentral:rRNA from 1 species